CACAGAGAGACAGAAAAGAUAUCAAAAUGGAAAGCAGAGAAGAGAGACAAGAGAAGAUAAACAGCAAAAUCAACCCAGGCACAUAAACAUUUUCCACUGUCAAAAAAAGAAUGAAAAGCUGGUGAGGAAGAGAGCGGACCACCCAGGAGUGCAGACAUUCUGAGACUGCAGGACACACUGCCACCUCUGCACACCUCUGCCCACAUCCCUGGUCCAAGGGAAAACUGCACAGUGCCUUUGGACAGAGGGAUAUAGGAACAGACAGCCACCAGUACCCGCAGUUCUGGUCUGCACCCAGGACUGAACUGAACAGGCCAAACAGCUCCCUGCAUCCACCUCCCAUGGGGGAGAGAGCUGGACCCUCAAAAGUGUGGAUACUCCUGAGAAGUUAGAGAAGACUACCCUCUUCCCACAGUCCAGACCCAAGGGGGAUUCACAUAGUGCCAAUUGUGCCUGCUGGGUGCAAGGACCUACAAGCAAUCAGUGGCAGGACCCUUUGAUUCCUGCCCAUUCCUAGAGUUGGAAGACAGUCUCGAGAAGUGCUGCCACAUCUGAGAGCAGAGGGACUGCUUUUUACGAAAGGACUGGAGAAAUGGAUCAGCAGUGAAGAGGACUGACUGCUCUU
ensembl:lncRNA